GCACGUGCCAUUGUACCUGCAACCCCGCACAGGGUGCUCUGCUUAUUUUCCGCGUUAUAGAAAAAAACAUCAAAAUGCAGAGCAGGUAAGCAGCUUGCUCAAGACCACCGAGUGAGUUUGAGGCCAUCCUUAUGAAAGAAGAGAAAGGAAGAAAAAAAAAAAACAGUUAAGGCAAGUCCUCAGCAGAGGAUUUAAACAGAGAAACAGCCUGGAAAAUCAAGCUGCAGCUGCACAGAUAAGGGAGCAAAGCUCAACAUAGAAACACCUUUAUUCUUUGUGUAAUCAGCGGGCGCCUAGGAAAAAGUUUCUUUUCCUUUCAUGGACCUGUACAUGGUGGGCUCCCUGGGAACUUACAUGGGGCGGGGGGCUUGCCUAAAACAUGCCUACAGUUGCUCAGACAACAGAAGUGUUACUCCCUGUGCUUGCGUAAGACACGCCCGCAGCUGCACAGAAAAGGGCAGUUACACAAGCAGCUAUAUAGACAGGGGAAGUUACACAGCUAUACAGAUAAAGAAAGUUUCUUAUACAAACUUUUGCAUUCAACUGUAAAAAUGGAAACCCUCUUGGGACCCCUCUCUGCUGUGGAGAGCUUUCUUCUGUUGCUUAUUAAACUUUUGCUCCAACCUCAUCCUUGGUGUCCUUGCUUUUUAAUUUCCUUGGUUGUGAGACCAAGAGCUCAGAUAACACCUCAGACAAUAAGACUGCUUCAUUGACCCUAGACCGUUUCACCAAUGGCCUAAGCACUCAUGCUCUUUGUAACACACUGAGGAUAUGGUACAGAAAUUGCCUUCGUAUCAACUGAGCCCAGGCUCUUGAGCCUCAGCUGACGAUUCCACACAACAGACUAUGUCUGCCCCAUUCAAAUAACUUUUAGCAAUAUAAGCAACAUUAAUCAGAACAGAGUAUUUCUGGGAGCAAAAUAUAUGAGUUUGAAUUCUAGCUCCAUGUUCUACUAACUGUGUAAAUUGAGCCAGCUUUUUUUUUUUUUUUUUUUUUUUGAGAUAGAGUUGUUUUGCUCUUGUUGCCCAGGCUGGAGUGCAAUGGCGUGAUCUCAUGAGCCAGUUUCUUCACCAACCUUUUUAUUUCAUGUUCCUCAUUAUAUUAAAUAGGUAUUAACUAACUCAUUGGAUUCUUCUGAGGAUGAAAUAUCAUAAUGUAUGUAAAUUUCUUAACUGAGUAUUGAGCACAUAGUAAAUGCACCCCCCAAAUCAGACAUUUUUAAUAUAAAGCUUGAUCAAUAUUUUAUCUAUCCAUUAUUAAUGAUUUAAUAUAA
rnacentral:lncRNA from 10 species